GAUGAAGAACGUAGCGAAAUGCGAUAAGUAAUGUGAAUUGCAGAAUUCAGUGAAUCAUCGAAUCUUUGAACGCACAUUGCGCCCGCCAGUAUUCUGGCGGGCAUGCCUGUCCGAGCGUCAUUUCAACCAUCAAGCCCCCGGGCUUGUGUUGGGGACCUGCGGCUGCCCGCAGGCCCUGAAAACCAGUGGCGGGCUCGCUGUCACACCGAGCGUAGUAGCAAGCACCUCGCUCAGGGCGUGCUGCGGGUUCCGGCCGUUAAACAGCCUUACAAACCCCAAGGUUGACCUCGGAUCAGGUAGGAAGACCCGCUGAACUUAAGCAUAUCAAUAAGCGGAGGA
rnacentral:misc_RNA from 1 species